UACGUAGGUGGCGAGCGUUGUCCGGAAUUAUUGGGCGUAAAGAGCAUGUAGGCGGUUUUUUAAGUCUGGAGUGAAAAUGCGGGGCUCAACCCCGUAUGGCUCUGGAUACUGGAAGACUUGAGUGCAGGAGAGGAAAGGGGAAUUCCCAGUGUAGCGGUGAAAUGCGUAGAUAUUGGGAGGAACACCAGUGGCGAAGGCGUCUUUCUGGACUGUGUCUGACGCUGAGAUGCGAAAGCCAGGGUAGCGAACGGG
rnacentral:rRNA from 1 species